rnacentral:rRNA from 1 species
AUUGAACGCUGGCGGCAGGCCUAACACAUGCAAGUCGAGCGGAUGAAGGGAGCUUGCUCCUGGAUUCAGCGGCGGACGGGUGAGUAAUGCCUAGGAAUCUGCCUGGGCGUGGGGGAUAACGUCCGGAAACGGGCGCUAAUACCGCAUACGUCCUGAGGGAGAAAGUGGGGGAUCUUCGGACCUCACGCUAUCAGAUGAGCCUAGGUCGGAUUAGCUAGUUGGUGGGGUAAAGGCCUGCCAAGGCGACGAUCCGUAACUGGUCUGAGAGGAUGAUCAGUCACACUGGGACUGAGACACGGUCCAGACUCCUACGGGAGGCAGCGGUGGGGAAUAUUGGACGAUGGGCGAAAGCCUGAUCCAGCCAUGCCGCGUGGGUGAAGAAGGUCUUCGGAUUGUAAAGCACUUUAAGUUGGGAGGAAGGGCAGUAAGUUAAUACCUUGCUGUUUUGACGGUACCAACAGAAUAAGCACCGGCUAACUUCGUG